rnacentral:rRNA from 1 species
ACGAGAAAGCCCUUCGGGGUGAGUACAGUGGCGAACGGGUGAGUAACACGUGGGCAAUCUGCCCCUCGCAGGGGGACAACCGGGGGAAACCCCGGCUAAUACCCCGUACGCUUACGGAGCCGCAUGGCUCCGUAAGGAAAGGUAGCUUCGGCCAUCCGGCGAGGGAUGAGCCCGCGGUGCAUUAGCUAGUUGGUGAGGUAACGGCUCACCAAGGCGACGAUGCAUAGCUGGUCUGAGAGGAUGAUCAGCCACACUGGGACUGAGACACGGCCCAGACUCCUACGGGAGGCAGCAGUCGGGAAUCUUGCGCAAUGGGCGAAAGCCUGACGCAGCAACACCGUGUGAGCGACGAAGGCCUUCGGGUCGUAAAGCUCUGUUGUUGGGGACGAAGGGUUAGGGGUUAAUAGCCCCGAGCCUGACGGUACCCUUCGAGGAAGCCCCGGCUAACUACGUGCCAGCAGCCGCGGUAAUACGUAGGGGGCGAGCGUUG